AAGGAGGGCCCCCAAGGGGUGAAGUCAUCGAGGCAGCUGGACACGGGGGUCUGCAGUGCUGAAGAGAGCUCAGGGCGGAGAAGCAUCUUUGGGAGCUGCUAAUGUCUCAGCAUGGUUAAGCCGUGGGAAGUGAGAGAAGUAGAGAGGAAGGAGGGAGUGUAACUAGAGGAGAGGACUCGGACACAGCCCUAUGUGGAGAAGGAGGAGCUGGUGCGGGAUCCCUAACGGCUUUGACCCAGAGGUAUGAGGGCAUGGGGACCCUGGGUAAAGAAACAAGCAGGUUACCAUGAUCGGUCGCACCCUGUUGUGCUCUGGUGAGGGCAGAUGUGGGGCUCAAAUGGGGUAGGGUGCAAUGGCUGAUGUAGGAAGGUAUAUAGGUUUAGAGAAAAUCCUAUCCAAUAGCUUCUAUUUUUCAAGAAGCUAUAAGGCAAAGUCCUUAUGGAGCAU
rnacentral:lncRNA from 1 species